rnacentral:rRNA from 1 species
CCUACGGGGGGCAGCAGUAGGGAAUAUUGCUCAAUGGGGGAAACCCUGAAGCAGCAACGCCGCGUGGAGGAUGAAGGUUUUCGGAUUGUAAACUCCUUUUGUUAGAGAAGAUAAUGACGGUAUCUAACGAAUAAGCACCGGCUAACUCCGUGCCAGCAGCCGCGGUAAUACGGAGGGUGCAAGCGUUACUCGGAAUCACUGGGCGUAAAGAGCGCGUAGGCGGGAUAGCAAGUCAGAUGUGAAAUCCUAUGGCUUAACCAUAGAACUGCAUUUGAAACUGUUAUUCUAGAGUGUGGGAGAGGUAGGUGGAAUUCUUGGUGUAGGGGUAAAAUCCGUAGAGAUCAAGAGGAAUACUCGUGGCGAAGGCGACCUGCUAGAACAUAACUGACGCUGAUGCGCGAAAGCGUGGGGAGCAAACAGGAUUAGAUACCCUAGUAGUC